rnacentral:misc_RNA from 1 species
UACGCAGCCGAGCUGAGCAGG